rnacentral:snRNA from 1 species
GUUCUCACUUCAGCAGCACACAUACUAAAAUCACAAAGAUACAGGGAAGAUUAACAUGGCCCCUGUGCAAGGAUGACACGAAAAUUUGUGAAGCACUUCAUAUUUUU